UGCUCGCUCGCCAACGGCAGCACAGGUCCGACUUCAAUCUGCUGAUUUCUGUCUGGUGAAGCAAGCAAUAGGUGAUCUAUGUCUGGUGAAGCAAGAAGGUGAUUUAUGUCUGGAGCAGUUAACUGAAGAUUAAUUGGUUCAAGCAAAAUUAGUUGAUUCAAGCAACAAUUUCUUCCCCUGCUCCUGCAAGCCCAUCAAUGGUUGCUGCUGCUGGUGAGAUCUCUCUUCAAAAUGUGUUGUUGAUGGUGCUGAUUUAUGCAAGCCCAUAAGUUCUUGUUGCUGCUGAUUUAUGCAAGCCCAUAUGUUGUUGUUGCUACUGAUUUAUGCAAGCCCAUAAGUUC